rnacentral:ribozyme from 14 species
GCCAAUCAGCUGUUUACCGAUACUUUUCUUUGGAUGAUUUCUGUGAAUCAGGAAAAAGAAAAGAAAAACUCAUUUUCUUCUUCUUCUUUA